rnacentral:rRNA from 1 species
UACAGAGGUCUCAAGCGUUGUUCGGAUUCAUUGGGCGUAAAGGGCGCGUAGGCGGCAAGGCAAGUCGGGUGUGAAAGCUUGGGGCUUAACCCCGAAAGGGCACUCGAAACUGCCCUGCUAGAGGGUCGGAGAGGAGAUCGGAAUUCACGGUGUAGCAGUGAAAUGCGUAGAGCUCGUGAGGAAGACCGGUGGCGAAGGCGGAUCUCUGGACGGCCCCUGACGCUGAGGCGCGAAGGCUAGGGGAGCAAACGGG